rnacentral:rRNA from 1 species
CACACCGCCCGUCACGCCAUGAAAGCUGUUUGUACCCGAAAUUACCUUAGCUAACCUGCAAAGGAGGCGGAUAAUGAAGGUAUGAAGAGUGAUUGGGGCG